UUUCCGUAGGUGAACCUGCGGAAGGAUCAUUAUUGCAUAACCGAGGUGCAAGGGCUGUCGCUGACCCGAAAGGUCGUGCACGCCCGAGUGCCCUCACACACAUCCAUCUCACCCCUAUGUGCACCACCGCGUGGGUCCCCCUUUGGCUUGUUCGGAGGGGGGCUUACGUUUUCACACAAACUUUGUAUGCAGUGUAGAAUGUAUUUUUUGUUUUUGCGAUCACGCAAUCAAUACAACUUUCAACAACGGAUCUCUUGGCUCUC
rnacentral:misc_RNA from 1 species